rnacentral:lncRNA from 1 species
GGAUCACCUGAACCUGGGAAGCAGAGGUUGCAGUGAACUGAGAUCACGCCACUGUACUGGCUGACAAAGUGAGACCCCUGUCUAAAAAAAAGAUAAAGAGAGUUACCUGAAUCUGGAAUCCUUAAUCUUGGUUUUCCUUAAACUUUCUAUAAGUCCAGCAUCUGAAAUAUUUUGUCAAUUAUCACAUUAAUGUGUUCAUUUUGUAAGUAAGAGUACUCAAUUUAAAAUGAUCUUACUUUAAAAGUGGCCUAGUUUGCAGUGCCCAGCAGGACACUGACAGUCACAGCUGUGUGACUUUUUGUGGGUUACUUAAUUUUUUUGAGCCUCCUUUUCUCUUCUAUUCAAUGAGGAUAAUAGGGCCUACCUCAUAGGAUUAUUAUGCAUUCCCCUCUGUUAAUGCACGUAAAGUUUUUACUUGGAAAACUAACUCACCAUUUAACAACCAUUCUAAGCACCAUAGGAUAUAUUUUGUUUCACAAAUUUGGUAUUCAUUCAGAAUAAGUAUUUGAAAAGUGAGUAAAUUCUAUGCAAUUAUAGUUAUUAAAUGACUUAUAAACUGUGUUUCUCUUCCACUUCUUGCUACAUUUAAUCUUCUAGGUGUUCAGAUAUCUUUGGAGAUUAUAGGCAGCAAUAAAGCUAAGGCAGCUAACCUUUCAACAUUCUUGUGUCAGGCUAAUAUUUUGGUGAAAGGAAUUCUUGUGUUUCUCAAAGAACUAGAGCUGAAGCAGAAAUAAGUUCCAAUGAGCAAGUGUCCAAUCGGACCAUUGAAUGAAAUCUAGUGUUUUAAACAAUUCUGAUGUUUCAAUGUUUUGUUCUGUUUUCUUUUGAUCUUGUGAGCAGUAAGACAUAUUUUAUGUGGGUGGUAAAGGAAGAAAUCAAGUAACAGAAUGAGGAAUUGUUCCCAGGAAGAGUUAGAGUUGGGACAAAUGGGUUGUUAACUUUGAUUUUUAGAUCUUCUCUGAAGACAUUAAACAUGGAAUGGUCAUCUUUAGAAAAAUAAAAGACUAUGCAACUCCA